UUGAAUAUUAGGCAAACCAAUCGAAAGGUUGGGACGCAAAGCCAAGGGCCUUUCCCUUAACAGGGUGGCAGCCGGUUGCAUAU
rfam:Butyrivibrio crossotus CAG:259 genomic scaffold, scf58